GACAGAGGUGCCGAGCGUUAGGCGGAAUCACUGGGCUUAAAGCGUGUGUAGGCGGACUUCUAAGUACCUUGUGAAAUCCCAUGGCUCAACCAUGGAACUGCUCGGUAUACUGGUUGUCUUGAGCCACUUAGGGGCAGUCGGAACAGACGGUGGAGCGGUGAAAUGCGUAGAUAUCGUCUGGAACGCCAAAGGUGAAAACAGACUGCGUGGGAGUGUGCUGACGCUGAGACACGAAAGCCAGGGGAGCAAACGGGG
rnacentral:rRNA from 1 species